AGAGUUUGAUCCUGGCUCAGAAUGAAACCUGGCGGUGUGCCUAACACAUGCAAGUCAAACGACAAUUUAUUUGGAGUGGCGGACGGGUGAGUAACACGUAAGAACCUACCUUUAGGAGGGGGAUACCAUCCCGGGAAACUGGUGCUAAUACCCCAUAUGCUGAGAAGUGAAAUGGUAUUUAACCGCCUAGAGAGGGGCUUGCGGCUGAUUAGCUAGUUGGUGGGGUAAUGGCCUCCCAAGGCGACGAUCAGUAGCUGGUUUGAGAGGAUGAUCAGCCACACUGGGACUGAGACACGGCCCAGACUCCUACGGGAGGCAGCAGUGAGGAAUUUUCCGCAAUGGGCGAAAGCCUGACGGAGCAAUACCGCGUGGAGGAAAAAGAAGACCUGUGGGUUGUAAACUCCUUUUCUCAGAGAAGAAUACUGACGGUAUCUGAGGAAUAAGCACCGGCUAACUAUGUGCCAGCAGCCGCGGUAAUACAUGGGGUGCGAGGUUUAUUCGGAAUGAUUGGGCGUAAAGCGUUCGUAGGUGGUUUCACGAAGUCCACUGUCAAAGAUCAGGGCUUAACCUUGGGCAGGCAGUGGAAACUCGGAAACUCGAGUCAGGUGGGGGCUGAAGGAAUCAACAGCGUAACAGUGAAAUGUGUAGAUAUUGUUGA
rnacentral:rRNA from 1 species